rnacentral:piRNA from 1 species
GAAACAGGAGAAAAACCCAGUGUUGGUGU